rnacentral:ncRNA from 2 species
GGAGCAAUUUCUGGAGAGUUCGCAUUUAGCGACGCCGAAGGGUUCACAAUCUCAGGCAAAAGGACAGAAAAAGUAAC